CGUACAUCAUCAUGACUCACACUACCAUGUGUGUAUAUGGUGGAAAAAGUUUAAUUUAAUUUACCAAAAACAAAGAUCUUUCGAUACCAUUCUGCAGUUGAUAUGGCAAUAGUAUCGAUAAUAUGAUCAUAAAAUUUUCAUUUAUCAAAAUGGCUUUGACUUGAUAUAUAAAUAUGUACAUACUUAUCCGUUAAAGAUACAAGGUUUUAUUUGGUUAAAAAUUUGUUAGGUACAAAAGUAAUUUUAUCUUGUUUUAUUAUAAAGAACUUCCUAAAAGCAACUUCAUUUCCAGCGCUUGUUGUCUAAGUGUAGCUAAUCAAUAGCGCUGGGAACAAGGUUGGCUUAGAUGGUGAACAUCUUAAGAACAUAUUUUUAGUCUUUAAAGUGCAAAAAUCUAAGAACAAUCAUGAGAUAUUUUUUCGUGUAAUAAUAAAAAGACCGUUGGAUUUCCAAUGUUCCUAAAUUAUUUACUACUACGUGUCUAUGUAUCAGAAUUCUAUUUUUGAAAGCAUUCGAAAUAUAACUUUUGACCUGUUCCGAAAUAUACGAACUGAAAACGAUUAAGUAUAUUUAUGUGGUGGGAUUAAUGAAAAUAUAUUUUUCCCCCAAGUUCAUAAUCUGACUUCACCAGCAAACAACAUGAUAUCAUAUUCUUUUUAGACAGUUUAAUCAGACAUUAACCUUAAAGUGCAACGUGUAAGCACAGCUUUAACAUAUUAAAUAUUGACAUGCAAAAAAUGUGUCAUGCUAGCCUUUAUUAUUCUAUUAAUUUUUUAAACAGAAGAAUGGCUGCGACUUUACUUUAUCAGAUGAGCCAUCGAUUACUAUCUCACAUGCGUAGGCCCAAUCAAAUAGGCGUUGAGGGGCAGCGGAAGUCCCAGCUCAAUUUAAAAAUAUAUAUAUAUAUAUUUUUUAUACAUAUUAUAAAAUUUAUAUACAUAAAUUUUAUAUACAUAUAUAUAAAAUAUAUAUGUAUAUAUUAAAAUAAUGACAUCAGUUAGGUAAAAAAAAAAAAUAUGAAAGAAAGACAGAAAGAAUGGCUAAAUAUUUUAAUUAAUUGUUUCAAUAGCCCUCCAACGCUUCUUUUUUCUUUUUAUUACAUUAAAUGAAACAGCAUCGAAAAGAAUAUUAAAAAUGAUUCAGCCCUUAUUAAGCUUAAAGCAAGUUAACUCCCCCAUACAUGAGGGAUAAAGUCAUUCAAAUAGAUUAGACCGCGAUAUGCUAUAGUGAAAAACAGGCAACCUUCUUAUCGAAGUUUUGUCACCUUUUAAAAAUUUCUUCACUUGGGUCUAACAAUGUUUAAUCCUAGAUGGUGCAUCGUUUUUAUUAUUUUUAGUUUAUUGGUUAGUCUGGUGCGCCAAUCAAAAUUGUUAUCACGCUUGUCGUCGUAUGAAAUUGACAUGACUUUGAAUACAAGGAAAGUCUCAUGAUUUUUAAAUUUGUUUAUGCCCUAUGUUUUUAAUAA